ACGGGGGGUGCAAGCGUUAUUCGGAAUUAUUGGGCGUAAAGGGCACGCAGGCGGUCUUGCCAGUCAGAUGUGAAAGCCCGGGGCUCAACCCCGGAAGUGCAUUUGAAACUACAAGACUUGAGUACGGUAGAGGAGAGGGGAAUUCCUGGUGUAGAGGUGAAAUUCGUAGAUAUCAGGAGGAACACCGGUGGCGAAGGCGCCUCUCUGGACCGAAACUGACGCUGAGGUGCGAAGGCGUGGGUAGCGAACAGG
rnacentral:rRNA from 1 species